CUUGCUCUUCUUGGAUGAGUUGCGAACGGGUGAGUAACGCGUAGGUAACCUGCCUUGUAGCGGGGGAUAACUAUUGGAAACGAUAGCUAAUACCGCAUAACAAUGGAUGACACAUGUCAUUUAUUUGAAAGGGGCAAUUGCUCCACUACAAGAUGGACCUGCGUUGUAUUAGCUAGUAGGUGAGGUAAUGGCUCACCUAGGCGACGAUACAUAGCCGACCUGAGAGGGUGAUCGGCCACACUGGGACUGAGACACGGCCCAGACUCCUACGGGAGGCAGCAGUAGGGAAUCUUCGGCAAUGGGGGCAACCCUGACCGAGCAACGCCGCGUGAGUGAAGAAGGUUUUCGGAUCGUAAAGCUCUGUUGUAAGUCAAGAACGGGUGUGAGAGUGGAAAGUUCACACUGUGACGGUAGCUUACCAGAAAGGGACGGCUAACUACGUGCCAGCAGCCGCGGUAAUACGUAGGUCCCGAGCGUUGUCCGGAUUUAUUGGGCGUAAAGCGAGCGCAGGCGGUUUGAUAAGUCUGAAGUUAAAGGCUGUGGCUCAACCAUAGUUCGCUUUGGAAACUGUCAAACUUGAGUGCAGAAGGGGAGAGUGGAAUUCCAUGUGUAGCGGUGAAAUGCGUAGAUAUAUGGAGGAACACCGGUGGCGAAAGCGGCUCUCUGGUCUGUAACUGACGCUGAGGCUCGAAAGCGUGGGGAGCGAACAGGAUUAGAUACCCUGGUAGUCCACGCCGUAAACGAUGAGUGCUAGGUGUUGGAUCCUUUCCGGGAUUCAGUGCCGCAGCUAACGCAUUAAGCACUCCGCCUGGGGAGUACGACCGCAAGGUUGAAAC
rnacentral:rRNA from 1 species